UGUUGGGCUCUAAUCGCAGAUUGAAGAGAGACUCUCUCCUCCGGAGCAACUCAAGAGAAGUGACGUCAGCUGAAGGCUUCUACAAUGCAAACUUUUGCCCCCCUGCAGACACCCUGUCAUCAUAUCUGCAAAAGUCACAGGAGCUGCUGACUGACUGGACUGAGUGAAACACACGCCUGGCUGGAUCAACACACAUGCAUGUUCCAGGAUAGUGAAUGGGGGAGAAACAUGAGACUUCCAGGACAUGAGAAACAGAUGCUCUACACUUCUGUGCACACCUUUUCCCAGGAAAAACAGGAACAUGAAUAGAGGAUGAGCUGAAGAGCAAUAACUGAUAUCUAGUAGAAUCCUGAGAAAAAGAGACGUGGGGUUGUUGGUGAAACCAGAAAAACAGGAACGAGUUGGCUUGUAUAUUUACACAAAGGGCCAGAGUCAGUUUUUUUUUUUUGUUUUUUUACAUGUUUAAGACAUUGUGAAGUCUAUCAGAAAGCAAAGAUGUUGUUCUUGUUCUGCAUCGUAUAUUAUUGACACAUAACUUGAUAAAUCGCAGGCUCCAUGAACUUAUGUCUCGUAAUCCGAGCGUGGCUCUCAUUUUCAUUCCAUCUGUCACGCUACUGUAUGUCAUAUCUUAUUCAUGCAUACCAAUGUCCAUUUUAAUUAGUCAUUCUGGGUCAGUGUAGACCUCUUCCUGCUUCAAGCAGUGGUGUGGCAGAUGUGUGAAUGAGGUUCAUUUGCCAUUAUUUGAGUGAAAAUAGGCCAUUACAGCCAUUAUGAUGAGACAACAGUCGCUCAGUGAUAAUAGCACGGAUCCCAGUUUAACAGAAAAGACGCUUUAAGGGAUGUGACGGGAUAAAUCAAUGAAGUUGCAAAAAAAAAAAAAAAAUGGUUUUACCUCAAAAGGUUCAUCAUAGAUUCAAUUCAAUUAUCUCCAAAAUAUCAAAUGAGGCUUUCAGUGUAUUAGUGUUACAACAAAUAAUUAUCCUAAUUAUCAUAAUUAUGCCUGAGCAGAAAAACAAAUGUAAGAAAACCUUCCCUUUUGUAUGUCAGUAUACAUUUUUGUCUGUUGGCGACAUACAGGAGCUACACCUUUCAGUAGCAGUACAACAAAUCAGAAAUCUAUGUAGGUCCGGCCGACCUUUACACAGCCUGCUAAUCAGGCUGAAUUGCCAUUUUCGUUCUUACAUCAUUAUUCAUUCCUAACUAAUUAAGAGACUUGCAAGCAUACUAGAAUGUGUUCACUGUUGUGGGAAGAAAGGAACAUUUACAA